rnacentral:rRNA from 1 species
UUUAACUGAAGAGUUUGAUCAUGGCUCAGAUUGAACGCUGGCGGCAGGCUUAACACAUGCAAGUCGAGCGGGGGAAGGUAGCUUGCUACUGGACCUAGCGGCGGACGGGUGAGUAAUGCUUAGGAAUCUGCCUAUUAGUGGGGGACAACAUCUCGAAAGGGAUGCUAAUACCGCAUACGUCCUACGGGAGAAAGCAGGGGAUCUUCGGACCUUGCGCUAAUAGAUGAGCCUAAGUCGGAUUAGCUAGUUGGUGGGGUAAAGGCCUACCAAGGCGACGAUCUGUAGCGGGUCUGAGAGGAUGAUCCGCCACACUGGGACUGAG